UCAACAUUUUUGCAAGUUCAGCUUUAAGGCCGACCACAAAGGCUGAUUUUAAUGUGACAAGUACCUGCUGUUCUGUAUCAUUCGACCUAUUGUCACGAGCAAACCCUGAGUGUGCCAUCCAAACAUAUAUAAAAUGCUCCACAAAGUCCCUAAUGUCUUCAGUGCGUUUUUGUUGGUAGGCAGUUAUUUUGUUCCAAUCUGUUCUAGAAGGGCUGUAAUCACAGACCCACUUGCGAAUAGAAUGACACAUGUCUCCUAAUUUCUGUUCAUUUUCUCCUAACUGUGCUGCUACUCGAGUGAGAAGUUUAUUUCAUGUAUUUGAUCCCACCGUGACAGUCAGACUGGGUGCAUGGCCACAGGGGGUUCCUUAUUAGUAUCGGAAUCAUCAUUGUUCCCCAAGGACGAUUCUGAAUUACCUUUAAGAGAAGGUGCACUUGGAGUAUGAAUGAGACAUAAAGAUAUAGCAGGAGACAUCAUUUCAAUGUGAUUGUGAGUGAAGAAAGCUACUUCAAGUCGGAUAUCUAAACAAAAAGCAGGACACCAUAAAAGAAAUUUAAACACAGGCAAAAGAACAACGUGAUAAAAAGUGAUAGCAGGACCCUGACAAAGACCUGCACAAUGCAUUUUUUGUGAUCAUCAAAAAGCUGGACAUGCAAGCAGUGGAAUCAUUCUCUGGCCAGGAAAAAAUAUCAAUAUGGUGAUGGAGGCUGGGAGAACACAGCAAGCCCAGCAGCGACAGGAGGUGGAGAAGUCAAUGUUUUGGGAGUAACCCUUCUUCAGGGCCCAGCAUCUGCAGGUUUUUUUAAUCUCUAAGAUGGUGAUGGAAGCAUAUAAUGUGGAUGUCGUCUGUGGAAGCUUGAAUUCCGGAGAAAUCUGCAAUUUGUUUUCUACUUCACUCAGUCCUUUUAUAAAUCAGAUGCAAGCAUUCAUCGUGGAAUAUAGUAUGAAGCUUAUUGGCCGUUUGGAUUUAGCAACGCACAACAAACACUGAGCUGUCACCAAAAUUAGCUGUGCUGCCUGUUUUGUGAAAGCUAAUUGUCUGUGAUGUUGACAAACACAAGCAGUGAGGGUCCAGUUAUGGUUGCAGCUAGUAAGAGUUCUGACAACCUCCUUGGUGAAGUGCAGCCAUCUUUUUUUUUGAGUGAAGUUGAAUUGAGUCCUGAUCUGAAGAUCUAACAUGGAUAUGUCCUCCUGCACAAUGUUGUCUGAUUCUGAGCUGCUACUCCUUUCUCUAUCUUCAUUACUUCCCAAUUGCCCUGCCAGAUCAUCCACAAUCUCAAUUGAAUCGUUGAAAAAAAAUCUUCCAGAGCCAGCACAAAGAUGUGAAGACAGGUCUGAAUGUACAUGUUAAACAAUAAAAGUAGUUGGAGGACAAAGGCCAAAAAGUCAACCAGCAAGCUAAGACAACAUGCUACCAAUAACUAACCCAUAUGAGUGGAUGCACUGUUUGAGUAGAGCUCCCAAAGUCUCCUGUUGCCU